ACCAAUUGUUCGCCAAAUAACUACGAGUAAAAACUUAAAAUUUAAAAGACUUGACGGUACCUCAAAACAACCUAGAGGAGCCUGUCAAAUAACCGAUACUCCACGAUUAACCCAACCCCCCCUAGCCCCAACAGUCUAUAUACCGCCGUCGCCAGCCUACCUUAUGAAAGAAACAAAGUAAGCUAACUAACCACCACGCUAGCACGACAGGUCGAGGUGUAACUCAUGGGUGGGUCCAAGAUGGGCUACAUUUUCUCUCACAGAAAAUACAGAUGAAACUAUGAAACUAGAAACUAAAGGCGGAUUUAGCAGUACAACAAGAACAAAAUGCUUGAUCGAAGAUAACGCAAUGAGGUGCGUACACACCGCCCGUCAUCCCUGCCUAAUCAACAAAACUUUUAUAAACAAAAACCUACUACCCAAGCAGGGCAAGUCGUAACA
rnacentral:rRNA from 1 species